rnacentral:rRNA from 1 species
GGAAUAUUGCGCAAUGGGGGAAACCCUGACGCAGCAACGCCGCGUGCGGGAUGAAGCCUUUCGGGGUGUAAACCGCUGUCAGGGAGGACGAAAGAGUUAUGGGCGAAUACCCCAAAGCUCUGACGGUACUUCCAGAGGAAGCCCCGGCUAACUCCGUGCCACAAGCCGCGGUAAUACGGAGGGGGCAAGCGUUGUUCGGAAUUAUUGGGCGGAAAGGGCGCGUAGGCGGUUAGGUAAGUCAAACGUGAAAGCCCUCGGCUCAACCGAGGAAUGUCGUGUGAAACUACCUGACUUGAGUACGGGAGAGGAGAGUGGAAUUCCCAGUGUAGCGGUGAAAUGCGUAGAUAUUGGGGAGAACACCGGUGGCGAAGGCGGCUCUCUGGACCGUAACUGACGCUGAGGCGCGGAAGCUAGGGGAGCAAAC